rnacentral:rRNA from 1 species
UACGGAGGGUGCGAGCGUUGUCCGGAAUCACUGGGCGUAAAGGGCGCGUAGGCGGCGCGGAUAGUCGGCGGUGAAAGCCCGGAGCUCAACUCCGGGUCGGCCGUCGAUACUUCCGGGCUUGAGCACUGUAGAGGCAGAUGGAAUUCCGGGUGUAGCGGUGGAAUGCGUAGAGAUCCGGAAGAACACCGGUGGCGAAGGCGGUCUGCUGGGCAGUUGCUGACGCUGAUGCGCGACAGCGUGGGGAGCAAACGAGGAUUAGAAUACCCGUAGUACGU